GGGGAUCUGGCGACGGUGAGUACGCGUGGAACGUGCCCUUCACUACGGAAUAGCUUUUGGAAACGAAAGGUAAUACCGUAUACGCCCUCCGGGGGAAAGAUUUAUCGGUGAAAGAUCGGUCCGCGUUAGAUUAGCUAGUUGGUGAGGUAACGGCUCACCAAGGCUACGAUCUAUAGCUGGUCUGAGAGGAUGAUCAGCCACACUGGGACUGAGACACGGCCCAGACUCCUACGGGAGGCAGCAGUGGGGAAUAUUGCACAAUGGGCGCAAGCCUGAUGCUGCCAUGCCGCGUGAAUGAUGAAGGCCUUAGGGUUGUAAAAUUCUUUCGCCAAGGAUGAUAAUGACAGUACUUGGUAAAGAAGCCCCGGCUAACUUCGUGCCAGCAGCCGCGGUAAUACGAAGGGGGCUAGCGUUGUUCGGAAUUACUGGGCGUAAAGCGCACGUAGGCGGACUUUUAAGUCAGAUGUGAAAUCCCGAGGCUCAACCUCGGAACUGCAUUUGAAACUGGGAGUCUAGAGAUCAGGAGAGGUUAGCGGAAUACCGAGUGUAGAGGUGAAAUUCGUAGAUAUUCGGUGGAACACCAGUGGCGAAGGCGGCUAACUGGACUGAUACUGACGCUGAGGUGCGAAAGUGUGGGGAGCAAACAGGAU
rnacentral:rRNA from 1 species